rfam:Bacteroidetes bacterium MedPE-SWsnd-G1 Bacteroidetes-MedPE-SWsnd-G1-C8, whole genome shotgun sequence.
GGGGAUGACUUGGUUUUGACAGCGAGGUCAGGUGAACUGUAAGCAUGUGGAGCGUUGAAAUAGUACUCCUAAAAAUCAUUUCAACAUUUUAAACGGCGAGAAUAACUACGCUUUAGCUGCAUAAUCUGAAUUACAGUAGGAUUAGCCUAGUCUGACAAGGUCAGAAAGCUUUAUGCCUCUCGAAAGCCUUGGUUAGCGGCGUUCGAAUUUUUGGCAUCGUAAAAGUUGACAUAGGAUCACAAAGGUCAUGGUUGUAAUCCGAAACUAAAAUGACUAAGUUUUAAGUGGGCGGUUUUUGGUCAGCUUAGAAUCGAAAACUAAUCAAAGACUAUACAUGUAGAAAGCACUUUAGUUGCUUGUUUGGACGAGGGUUCGAGUCCCUCCAUCUCCACCA